GGAAGGAACGUUUUCUGUUACAUCUUUGACAAUUGACAUUAAUGCAACUUUUUUCGGUAGAAACGAUUUUUUUUAUUUUUUUAGACUUUUUUAUUCGUAAUAUCGGUAGGUUUGACAAUUUUAACCGUUUAACCGCUUAACGGAUCAUAAAUUUAUUGAAUUUUAUAGUUAUUAACCGCAUUGAUUAGGUAUUUUGAGAUUACAGUUAUAACCAUUAACUGCUAGGAAUGGGUAAGGUUAAAUUAUGGAUUUUGUAGUAACCGUACCAUAAUCGUAACGAUACCCAUAAUCAUCGCCGACCCGCUAUAUAGCCAACAUUUAACCGUCAAUACAUGCGCCGCGCCCAAUAAGCUCACUAGAUUAGCUAAAUGUACAUGAAAUUUAUCAAGAAAAUUAAAUCUAAUUC
rnacentral:lncRNA from 1 species